AUGAUUUUUCCUCUUUAGGGAAUAGGGUGAUUAAAAUUUAUUUAAUGAUUUUAAAUAUCUCGAAAAUAAGGGAGCUAAAUUUAUAUUAUUUUUUUUGUAGCAAUAAAAUUAUAAAUAUAGAUUUAGAAAUUAAAUGUUAAACGAACUUAUUAAUAUCUAGUUUUUUUAGAAAUAAAUUUAAUUUAGAUAUAAUUAUUUUAGUAAAUUAAAUUUUAUUUUAAUUUAUUAAUUUUUAUAUUAAAAAUUUAUGGGAUAAUCUAUAAAUUUAAGAUAAAAAUUUAAUUUUAAUUUUUAAUGUUAUAGAGAUAAUAUUUUUCUUUAAUUUUAAUAAUUUAAUAAUUUAAUAUUUAUAAAUUAAUAAUGAUUUAAAUUUAUAUUUUAUUUUUCUAUAAAAAUUUAUAUUUUAAUUAAUAAAAUAUAGAAAUAAUGAUUAGAUUAGUAAUAAAGUUAUAUUUUAUAAUGAUAUUUUGUAUUAUAUAAUUUAAAGGAAUUCGGCAAAUAUAUUAUUCACCUGUUUAUCAAAAACAUGUCCUGUUGAUUAUAAUUUUAGGUCGAUCUGCUCAAUGAAUUAUUUUAAAUAGCUGCAGUAUGUUGACUGUACAAAGGUAGCAUAAUAAAUUGUCUUUUAAUUGAAGAAUUGUAUGAAAGAAUUAAUGAAAUAAUAACUGUCUCUAAAUUAUUAAAUGAAUUUAAAUUUUUAGUUAAAAUUCUAAAAUUUAAUUAUGGGACGAUAAGACCCUAUAGAAUUUAAUUUAAUUUUUAAAUUUAUUUAUAAUUUUAAUAAAUAUAUUUAAGAUUAAAUUUGAUUGGGAGGAUUGGUAAAUUUAAUAAACUUUAUUUAAGAUUUAAUUUUGAUAUAAAGAUAAUUUUUUGAAUUAUAAAUUGUAAUUAAAAGAAUAAAUUACCUUAGGGAUAACAGCGUAAUAUCUUUUGAUAGACCAUAUAGAUAAAGAUGUUUGCACCCUCCGAUGUUGAACAAGACAGCGGCAAAAGAAUUAGCCGAAGAAAA
rnacentral:rRNA from 1 species